CGGGUGAGUAAUGUCUGGGAAACUGCCCGAUGGAGGGGGAUAACUACUGGAAAUGGUAGCUAAUACCGCAUAACGUCGCAAGACCAAAGAGGGGGACCUUCGGGCCUCUUGCCAUCGGAUGUGCCCAGAUGGGAUUAGCUAGUAGGUGGGGUAAUGGCUCACCUAGGCGACGAUCCCUAGCUGGUCUGAGAGGAUGACCAGCCACACUGGAACUGAGACACGGUCCAG
rnacentral:rRNA from 1 species